UGAACGCUAGCGGGAGGCCUAACACAUGCAAGCCGAGCGGUAUUUGUUCUUCGGAACAGAGAGAGCGGCGCACGGGUGCGGAACACGUGUGCAACCUGCCUUUAUCUGGGGGAUAGCCUUUCGAAAGGAAGAUUAAUACCCCAUAAUAUAUUGAGUGGCAUCACUUGAUAUUGAAAACUCCGGUGGAUAGAGAUGGGCACGCGCAAGAUUAGAUAGUUGGUGAGGUAACGGCUCACCAAGUCAAUGAUCUUUAGGGGGCCUGAGAGGGUGAUCCCCCACACUGGUACUGAGACACGGACCAGACUCCUACGGGAGGCAGCAGUGAGGAAUAUUGGACAAUGGGUUAGCGCCUGAUCCAGCCAUCCCGCGUGAAGGACGACGGCCCUAUGGGUUGUAAACUUCUUUUGUAUAGGGAUAAACCUACUCUCGUGAGAGUAGCUGAAGGUACUAUACGAAUAAGCACCGGCUAACUCCGUG
rnacentral:rRNA from 1 species